GUCCACGCCGUAAACGAUGGGUGCUAGGUGUGGGCGGUGUCGACUCCGUCCGUGCCGAAGCUAACGCAUUAAGCACCCCGCCUGGGGAGUACGGCCGCAAGGCUAAAACUCAAAGGAAUUGACGGGGGCCCGCACAAGCAGCGGAGCAUGUGGUUCAAUUCGACGCAACGCGAAGAACCUUACCAGGGCUUGACAUGCACUGGAAUGUCGUAGAAAUACGGCAGCCCUUCGGGGCCAGUGCACAGGUGGUGCAUGGCUGUCGU
rnacentral:rRNA from 1 species